UGCAACUCUUUGGCGAUUAUCUGGCAGAGUUCCAGAAGCAUUAUUCCUUCUUUGUCGAUUAGGUGGAGGUGGACCAAUGUUAUCACUCCUUUGGUGCUGGUUCUCAGGAGCAUUAUUUCUUCUAUGUCGAUAAGGUUGAGGUGGACCACUGUUAUCACUCCUUUGAUGCUGGUUAUCAGGCGCAUUAUAUCUUCUAUGUUGAUUAGGUUGAGGUGGACCAAUGUUAUCACUCCUUUGAUGCUGGUUAUCAGGCGCAUUAUAUCUUCUAUGUUGAUUAGGUGGAGGUGGACCAAUGUUACUACUCCUUUGGUGGUGGUUAUAGGACGGAGGACCAGAAGCGUUAUGCUGCCUUUGCAGAUAAA
rnacentral:lncRNA from 1 species